rnacentral:snoRNA from 1 species
AAGAUAGAAGACGAUGAUCUCAUCUCUCAGAUCCUUGCUGGAUUGGAUACAGAAUAGAAUCCGUUUGUCUCAUCCAUUGGUGCCAGAACCGAUGCCUAUUCCUUGAGCAAAAUUUAUGCUCAGGUUCUUGCGUUUGAAG